ACAGCCCCAGGUCUGCGGGGACGGCAGUGGACGCUCAGACCCCGCACCGCGGGAGGGGGGCGUGGGGGGAUGGGGGGCGCGGGGAGGGCAGGGGGAUACGGGGACAUGGGGACAUGGGGAUGAGGGACAUGAGGACAUUGGGAUAUGGGGACAUUGGGAUGAGGGGCAAGAGAACACUGGGAUAUGGGGACAAGGGACAUGGGGACAUUGGGACAUGGGGACACAGGGACACGGGGGCAUUGGGAUGAGGGGCAUGGACACAAGGGACAGGGGGACAUGGGGACAGGAGAUGUGGGGACAUGGGGAUGAGGGACGUGAGAACAUACGGAUAUGGGGACAAGGGACGUGGGGAUGUGGGACAUGGGGACAUGGGGACACGGGGACACAGGGACACGGGGACAUGGGGACACAGGGACAGGAGAUGUGGGGACAUUGGGAUGAGAACAUAAGAACAUUGGGAUAUGGGGACAAGGGACAUGCGGACACAGACAUGGGGGCAUUGGGAUGACGGGCAUGGACACAAGGGAUGUGGGGACACAGGGACAUGGGGACAUAGGACAUGAGAACAUGGGGACAAGAGGUGUGGGGACAUUGGGAUGAGGGAAAUGGACACAAGGGACAUGGGGACGAGGGACAUGGAGAUAUGGGGACACAGGGAUGAGGGGCAUGAGAACAUUGGGAUGCAGGGACAAGGGACACAGGGACAGGAUGGGGACAUGGGGACAAAGUGUCCCCAUGCAAAGCAUCCCUGUGCAAAGUGUCCCCAUGCGAUUGUCCCCGUGCCACUGUCCCUGUGCAAAGCGUCCCCAUGCAAAGUGUCCCUGUGCUGGCAUCCCUGUGCCACUGUCCCCAUGUAAUUGUCCCUGUCCCCGUGCCACUGUCCCCAUGGCAGUGUCCCCAUGCAACGUGUCCCUGUGUCACUGUCCCCAUGUCAUUGUCCCUGUCCCCAUGCCACCGCCCCCAUGCAAAGUGUCCCCAUGUCACUGUCCUUGUCUAAUUGUCCCCAUGGAAUUGUCCCCGUGCAACACGUCCCCGUGCCACUGUCCCUGUGUAAUUGUCCCUGUCCCUGUGUCCCCGUCCCCAUGCAAAGUGUCCCCAUGUCACUGUCCUUGUCUAAUUGUCCCCAUGGAAUUGUCCCCGUGCAACGUGUCCCCAUGCCACUGUCCCUGUGUCAUUGUCCCCGUCCCGGUGUCCCCGUCCCAGUGUCCCCAUCCCGGUGUCCCCAUCCCGGUGUCCCCGUCCCCGUCCCGGUGUCCCCGUCCCAGUGUCCCCAUCCCGGUGUCCCCGUCCCCGUCCCAGUGUCCCCAUCCCGG
rnacentral:lncRNA from 1 species